rnacentral:rRNA from 1 species
GAAACGGCUGCUAAUACCGGAUGAUGACGAAAGUCCAAAGAUUUAUCGCCAGAGGAUGAGCCCGCGUUGGAUUAGGUAGUUGGUGGGGUAAAGGCCUACCAAGCCGACGAUCCAUAGCUGGUCUGAGAGGAUGAUCAGCCACACUGGGACUGAGACACGGCCCAGACUCCUACGGGAGGCAGCAGUGGGGAAUAUUGGACAAUGGGCGCAAGCCUGAUCCAGCAAUGCCGCGUGAGUGAUGAAGGCCCUAGGGUUGUAAAGCUCUUUUACCCGGGAAGAUAAUGACUGUACCGGGAGAAUAAGCCCCGGCUAACUCCGUGCCAGCAGCCGCGGUAAUACGGAGGGGGCUAGCGUUGUUUGGAAUUACUGGGCGUAAAGCGCACGUAGGCGGCUUUGUAAGUCAGAGGUGAAAGCCUGGAGCUCAACUCCAGAACUGCCUUUGAGACUGCAUCGCUUGAAUCCAGGAGAGGUCAGUGGAAUUCCGAGUGUAGAGGUGAAAUUCGUAGAUAUUCGGAAGAACACCAGUGGCGAAGGCGGCUGACUGGACUGGUAUUGACGCUGAGGUGCGAAAGCGUGGGGAGCAAACCGGAUUAGAUACCCUGGUAGUCCACGCC